ACUUGUGUACGAGGAGCAACACUGACUCAAACACAUCAUGGGCAAAAUAACUGUAAAACAGGAACGCAAAAAACGGGCAACCUCAGCGCAGAGCCUUUAUGAUCGACCUGAAGUCACCUGUGUUCCUGCGGAGGAGAAGGAGAACACUGAAGUUAGAGUGGUUCAACAUCAGUCUGUGGGAGGAAAUUUAACACCUCACUCUCCUGCCACUCUAAACUCAAACCUCUCAGCUUUCGGAGAAAGUCUCAUUUGUGCUCCAGCGUUCUGUAACAACAAAGUCGGAAGAGAUGUGAAUCUAUUUUUUCUUAAGGACAAUGUUCCAGUGACCCAGAGACCUGAGUGUGGAGUCAUUGAGAACAAAGCUGUAGUUCAGGAGGUGCCCUCUGACAGCGAUACUGUCUCAAAAACCAUUCUCAGGACUCCUAAAAAGCUAAAGAAAAACUCACAUACCAUUUUCAGACGAAAGAGAGGCAAAUGUACCAGACGUACCAGACUGGCUUUUGAUGAUGUCAAGGAUCUGCCAGACCUGCUCUCCAUGGAGGAGAGGAAGGACAUGAUCAUAGAUAUUGUUACUGCAUCAGAAGGACACAAACUGACCAGUGUUACUGGUGAGAUCACCGGGGCUCGAGUGACGGCAGACUACAACUGCUAUGAAUGUGGUGCUGCCAUCCGGCAUUUUAAGGCAAAAGCCUUUAGAGUCAAGUGUACUAAGUGCCAAAACAGCUGGAAGUGUGCCAAAGUCCAGUGCACAUGCAGGGCCGAAAUAACAAUUGAACUGUCCAGAGAUGAAAAGCAGACGGUGGUCUUGAAUGAUUCACUGUUGCGCUCGAUUAUGAGCUACAACACAGAGGGAUACUGUAACACGGACAAACUUGAGAAAAGGAUUCUAAAGAUGGAAAUCUUACAGGUGGACUUUGAGGACGGGGAACCAAAGAGGGUGCAAAAGAUUGCUUCAGAAUUAGGGCUGGGUACCGCUUAAAUUUUUUCAAUACUGGUAACUGUUUGAUACUUUGAAUUUGGUUCGAUUAUUUUUUCUGUACCUUUUUCUAAAUUCUAAUAAAUACAAAAAGUGAUAAUUAUUCUCA
rnacentral:lncRNA from 1 species